GUUAGAGGAACAUACGAAGGCACCGACACGCGACAGUUGCUACCAGCGCACGUUGUUGAUCUCCAAACUCUCCAUUUCUUCAAACUCUGAAUUUUUUUUUUUUCCUUUUCAUCUCAAUCCGCCACCGAUAUCUUCCAAUAUGCAUUCCUCAAUCCUCUGAUUUCAUCCACAUUCACAUUCCUUAUCCUCCGUAGGGUUUCGAUGAGCUGCCGGAGUUCCAUCGGAAUCGGAUUCGGAGUCCAAUGAGACGGCGCCCCGUGGCGGCCAUUCUCCCUGACGAGAUGGAGAAACCCUCCGCCAGGAACCCUAAUUCCCGCAUCUGCUUCCUGGCAACACUCUCCGCAUUCUUCUGGUUCCUCCUCCUCUACUUCCACUUCGCCGUUCUCGGAAACCAAUCCCCCAAACUAACCCCUAUCACCGUCACCUUUCAGCAACCUCGCAAAAGCCUUGGCUCCCAAACCCUAAUCGAAGCCCCUCCGCCACCCUCCUUUCCCUUCGCACGUGCCCUCCAGACCGCCCUCAACAAGUCCGACAGGUGUGGAGGCCGCUACAUCUACGUCCACGACCUCCCCUCCCGCUUCAACGAGGACAUGUUGAAGAAGUGCAGAACGCUUUCCCUUUGGACCAACAUGUGCAAGUUCACCACCAACGCCGGCCUCGGCCCCCCCUUGGAAAACGUUAAGGGCGUCUUCUCCGACACCGGCUGGUACGCUACCAAUCAGUUCGUCGUUGACGUCAUCUUUAGCAACCGGAUGAAACAGUACGACUGCCUCACCCAGGACCCUUCCCUUGCCGCUGCAUUUUUUGUCCCCUUCUACGCCGGCUUCGACAUCGCCCGCUACCUCUGGGGCUAUAACAUAUCCGUCAGAGACUCUGCGUCGCUUGAUCUCGUUGAUUGGCUUGUGAGGAGGCCCGAGUGGAAGAUCAUGAACGGGAGGGACCAUUUUCUCGUGGCGGGGAGGAUCACGUGGGAUUUUAGAAGACUCAGUGAGGACGAAUCGGAUUGGGGGAACAAGCUUUUGUUUCUACCUGCGGCGCGGAACAUGUCCAUGCUUGUGGUGGAGUCGAGUCCCUGGAAUGCGAAUGAUUUUGGGAUUCCUUAUCCCACCUAUUUUCACCCUGCUAAGGAUGAUGAUGUCUUCAUUUGGCAGGAGAGGAUGCGGAGGUUGGAGAGGAAGUGGUUGUUUUCUUUCGCCGGGGCUCCGCGUCCGGAUAACCCGAAAUCGAUUCGGGGGCAGAUUAUUGAUCAGUGUAAGAGAUCCAAGGUGGGUAAGUUGUUGGAGUGUGAUUUUGGUGAGAGUAAGUGUCAUUCCCCGAGCAGCAUAAUGCAGAUGUUUCAAGGGUCACUUUUCUGCCUUCAGCCUCAAGGGGAUUCCUAUACCCGACGAUCUGCUUUUGAUUCAAUGCUAGCUGGGUGUAUACCUGUGUUUUUUCAUCCGGGUUCGGCUUACACUCAAUACACUUGGCACCUUCCCAAGAAUUAUACUAAGUACUCGGUGUUCAUUCCGGAGGACGAUAUUCGGAAGAGGAAUGUCAGUAUAGAAGAGAGGCUUACACAGAUUCCCGAGGAGGAAGUCAGGAUCAUGAGAGAGGAGGUCAUUAGUUUGAUCCCUAGAUUGGUGUACGCGGAUCCUCGAUCCAAACUUGAGACUCUUAAGGAUGCGUUUGAUGUUUCGGUGCAGGCUGUGAUUGACAAGGUUACCAAUUUGAGGAAGGACAUCAUGGAAGGUCGCACCGAUGAUAAUUUCAUUGAGGAGAAUAGUUGGAAGUAUGCGUUGUUGGAUGCGGGACAGCGCGAGGUUGGACCUCAUGAAUGGGAUCCCUUCUUUUCUAAACCCAAGGAUGGAAAUGCGGAUUCCAGUGAUUUGUCUUCUGAGGCUGCAAAGAAUUCUUGGAAAAAUGAGCAAAGGGAUACUUCUUGAUUCAGGCAGGGGAGGAAAUAUAAACAAAAUUAUGUCAAUGAGCGGAAGUGUUCAAUGAAUGAUAAUAUCAUUUGGCAGCUGCAUUAUCAGAGUUACCUACAUUUAUGACUGUGCAAUGAGGCAAGAUAGAAGAGAAGUUGCGGGGAAAGUGAUUAUAAAAGGUGUCUCCACAAGACCCAGGAUGUAUGUCUGGUAUGUGAAGUCAAUCAGCUGGAUACACAUGCAGGUAUACACCCAAAGGAGUUGAAUGAAAGAAACAUGCAUGACUCUGUUUUUCAGUUGUGAGCUCUGGCAUGGCAUGGCAUGACAUGUACCACACACACUCUUGGCAUUUGGCAACACGACAUCUGAUGUAAUGCACGAGGUCACUUCUGCAUUAAUAUCAUCCAUCUAUCUGUUUAGCCUUUUAUUAUUUACGCUUAUCGAUGGUUUUUGAAGCC